GGAGGAAAAGAAACCAACUGGGAUUGCCCUAGUAACGGCGAGUGAAGCGGCAACAGCUCAAAUUUGAAAUCUGGCUCCCGUUUGGGGGUCCGAGUUGUAAUUUGCAGAGGGUGCUUUGGCGUUGGUGGCGGUCUAAGUUCCUUGGAACAGGACAUCGCAGAGGGUGAGAAUCCCGUAUGUGGUCGCCUGCCUUCGCCGUGUAUAGCCCCUUCGACGAGUCGAGUUGUUUGGGAAUGCAGCUCUAAAUGGGAGGUAAAUUUCUUCUAAAGCUAAAUACUGGCCAGAGACCGAUAGCGCACAAGUAGAGUGAUCGAAAGAUGAAAAGCACUUUGGAAAGAGAGUGAAAUAGCACGUGAAAUUGUUGAAAGGGAAGCGCUUGCAGCCAGACUUGCUCGUAGUUGCUCAUCCGGGCUCCGCCCGGUGCACUCUUCUGCGGGCAGGCCAGCAUCAGUUCGGGCGGCCGGAUAAUGGCCUCUGUCAAGUAUCUUCCUUCGGGAUGACCUUAUAGGGGAGGCGUAAUGCGGUCAGCCCGGACUGAGGUCCGCGCAUCCGCCAGGAUGCUGGCGUAAUGGCUGUAAGCGGCCCGUCUUGAAACACGGACCAAGGAGUCUAACAUCUAUGCGAGUGUUUGGGUAUCAAACCCGAGCGCGCAAUGAAAGUGAACGGAGGUGGGAACCCUCGGGUGCACCAUCGACCGAUCCUGAUGUCUUCGGAUGGAUUUGAGUAAGAGCAUAGCUGUUGGGACCCGAAAGAUGGUGAACUAUGCUUGAAUAGGGUGAAGCCAGAGGAAACUCUGGUGGAGGCUCGCAGCGGUUCUGACGUGCAAAUCGAUCGUCAAAUUUGGGCAUAGGGGCGAAAGACUAAUCGAACCAUCUAGUAGCUGGUUCCUGCCGAAGUUUCCCUCAGGAUAGCAGUAACGCGAUUCAGUUUUAUGAGGUAAAGCGAAUGAUUAGAGGCCUGGGGGUUGAAACAACCUUCACCUAUUCUCAAACUUUAAAUAUGUAAGAAGUCCUUGUUACUUGAUUGAACGUGGACAUUUGAAUGUACCGUUACUAGUGGGC
rnacentral:rRNA from 1 species